rnacentral:rRNA from 1 species
CAGUAGCCACGGGAAUACGGAGGAUCCAAGCGUUAUCCGGAAUCAUUGGGUUUAAAGGGUCCGUAGGCGGUCUUGUAAGUCAGUGGUGAAAGCCCAUCGCUCAACUGUGGAACGGCCAUUGAUACUGCAGGACUUGAAUUAUUGGGAAGUAACUAGAAUAUGUAGUGUAGCGGUGAAAUGCUUAGAGAUUACAUGGAAUACCAAUUGCGAAGGCAGGUUACUACCAAUUGAUUGACGCUGAUGGACGAAAGCGUGGGUAGCGAACAGGAUUAGAUACCCCAGUAGUCCCUGUCUCUUAUAC